rnacentral:lncRNA from 1 species
GUAACUCAUUUUCUGAAAGAAAAAAAAAAAACGAAAUUUUAGUUAUGCUGCAUAAUUUACAAGUUGGUAUUGAACACAUAGAAAGGAUGAGAGAAAGUUUGGAGAAUGAAAUAUUGUUUAUCAGUGGGGUAGAUUUAGAAGAAGAUAGAACAAACGUGGUAUUUAAUGAGUUAUUAAACCAACCAAGUCAUGAGCCAUACCCUGACUGUUCAAAAUUUUCAUCCCUGAACUUUUUGGUUACGAUGAUGCAUGUGAAGGUUCUAAAAUAUAUGAGUAACAAGUGUUUCGAUAUGAUUUUACAAAUAAUAAAACGUGCAUUUCUAAUGUGUGGUACCAAUGCCCUUGGUUCAUUCUACGAAGCCAAACAUAAAUUGCGUGAGUUGGGCCUUAGAUUCGAGACUAUUCAUGCCUAUAAGUAUGAAUGUAUUGUUCUAGAAGGAGUUUGGAGAUUUGCAACUUGUGGUGAGUCUCGGUACAUGGUUAGUUCCAACAACUGAUCAUCAGGGAAAAAAUCUGUAGAAAGUAUUGCACCACUUUCUGUUAAUGUCGAGAUUACAACGCUUGUUUCUAUCGCAAGAAAGCUUGGUGAACAUGAGAUGUCAUAAGGAUAAAUGAGUGGAAACAAAUGUUGUGCUGAGACAUCCAACUGAUGCAGAGGGAUGAAAGCAUUUUGAUUCUGAAUUUCUUAAUUUUGCUUUAGAGCCACAUAACGUUUAUUUGGGGUUAGCUUUAGAUGAAUUUAAUUUUUUCAGUCAUAUGAGUACCUCGUAUGGUAUAUACCCUAUGAUGUUAAUUUCUUACAAUUUGCCGCCAUAGAAAUGCAUGAAAGAGUCAAAAUUAUACAUGUGAUUGCUCAUUCUCGACCCAAAAUCUCCUAGUAGGGAAAUUGAUGUGUACCUACAACCAUUAAUUGAGGAAUUAAAAAAUCUAUGGACUUUUGGUUUGCAUACGUAUGAUUGUCUUACACAUCUAUGUUUUCAUUUGUAUACAGUCUUGUUGUAGACAAUUAAUGACUUCCUAACAUAUGGUAAUCUAUCUAGGUAGAGUAUGAAAGGGUAUCAGGCAUGUUCCAUAUGCAUGAGAGAUAGAUUGUCGUUCGGUAUAAGAGGAAAAAUAUUUUUUAUGAAAUAUCAGCGCUAUCUUUCAGGUAAGCACGUUUGACGUAGAAGUAGGCUACAUAAUGAAAAGUAGAGCGUAAGUCACCUCUAGUGGUAAUUAAUGGCCAAAAAAUCUUGGAACAACUAGAUUCAUUGGAGUUUCUAGUUAUGAGUAAGAAUCAUGUGUUGAAAGAUAGAAAAAGAAAGAAAUCCCUUAAUUAAACAAAGAAAAGUAUUUUUUUCGAUCUUCCUUAUUGUUCGAGACUACUUAUUUGUCACAAACUUGGUUGGUACAUUGUUAAAUAUCGAAGGAAAAACUAAGGAUACCACGAAUACCUGAUUGGAUCUACAAGAUUUACAAAUAAGAAAAGAUUUACAUUUGAUAGAAGUUGGUAAUCAAUUAGUGAAACCACAUGCGAGCUAUACGUUGACCAGCAACGAGCAGGUUAAGUUUUGCAAGUUCUUGAAAGCAGUUAAGUUUUCCGAUAGAUUCGUUUCUAAUAUUUCAUGAUGUGUGAAUGCAAACGAGGGGAAAAUAUCAAGUCUAAAAAGUACAACUUUCAUGUUCUGCUACACCGGCUUCUACCAAUCGGUACUCGUCCAUUCUUACUGAGAAAUGUGUACACCGCUAUUACUGAACUGUGUAGUUAUUUUCAUGAUUUGUGUGACAAGACGAUAAUAGUAAGUGAUUUGGACAGAUUGCAGGCAUAUAUCAUAAAUAUACUGUGCAAACUUGAAAGAAUAUUCCCACAGACUUUUUUCAGCUUAAUGGUACACCUUAUAGUUCACCUACAAUAUGAAACCAAGAUUGUUGGUUCAGUUUCUUACAGUUGGAUGUAUCCCAAAAAGAAGUCUCCGCACACUAAAAUAUUAUGUUCGUAACAAAGCAUGUCCUCAUGGGUCUAUUGCAGAAGGCUAUCUUAUGAAUGAAUCAAGUAGUUUUUGUUCACCGUGUCUAAGUGAGAUUGAGACCCGAUUGACUAAAGAUGAUCGAAAUAACGAUAGUAUUCCAGAGCACGAGGUGAUUAUGAGUUCAAAGUGUUUGUUCAGAAGGUACAAGCAUUGGGAGCGUCCCAUUUUCGAAGCGUAUCAGAAGAAGAGAAACGACUCUUUCAUUGGUACAUCCUAUUUUUGAUGUAAUAGCGGAGUACCACAAGUACUCAUCUCUACACUAAUCAUGAUGAGUCUUUGUUAUUGUCGCCACCUAAACUCAAAAUUAUGUACUUCAAGAAACACCUAGUGUUGAUACUCGUCGAGGUGAAACCAUUUAUGAAACUUUUAAAAGACAUGAACGAGCUUUUUUGAAUGGUCCAAAGCUUUUUGUGAAUUCUUGCAUGCGGUACUUUAUAUUUUAUAUAUAAUCUGUUCAUUUACACUCAUUUCAGGUUAUAGUAGAAAGGCAUGAGAGUUCAAAUAUUUCUCAACAUUUCUUCUGAAUCGCAAUGGGACCUUCACUUGAGGUCUGCUCUUAUAGUGGAUGCAUUAUCGAUGGCGUACGAUUUCACACUUUGGAGUGUGAUUUCUAAUGCAGAACACAGAAUAGUAGAGUCAUGGUAGAUAGUGAAGUUAGUGGAGGUAGUGCUAACAACAAUUUCUACCGGGGUUUUAGAUGAAGUGUUGCAAGUUCAAUAUCCAUUUGGACGACGUGCUUGAUUAUCUAAGUGGAGAUCGUUUGACACAAACAUCAACCAAAACCAUAGAACACACAUGGAACUAUCUAAGUGCUAACAACAAUUUCUACCGGUGUUUUAGAUGAAGUGUUGCAAGUUCAAUAUCCAUUUGGACGACGUGCUUGACUAUCUAAGUGGAGAUCGUUUGACACAAACAUCAACCAAAACCAUAGAACACACAUGGAACUAGCCUACAAAUCAAUAGACAUAUCCCAUUUUUGGUUUGUUAAGGAACCAAUGAUUAUUCUCGUAACCUAUACAUCAAGUUUUCUACCUCGAGGACCCUAAAAAUGGUACGAAUUGGAAAAUUAUUCAAAGUGGUAUAGAAUAAACGUGUAUGGGACGUGCCAGAAGAAGAAGAUGUCAAGAAUGACCAACUUAAUGUAUUGAAAACAGUCGUCGGACAUCGUUUGGACUAAACACUGAUUGAGGGUGCAACUCUGUGCAAAACUGAAGUUGAUCCAACCGUGGUGGAAAGACCAAAUAUGCGUCCUAUUGCGGAUAACUUCAUAGAUGAUAAUGAACAAUGAUUAUCAUCACAUCAAAGCGGGUCAAGUAAAAAUGAAUAAAAAUGUCUUCUUAACGUAUACACAUUAGUCAUAUAUUUUUCUAUGCAUUUAGUUUGCAGUACUUACAUUUUGUUUAACGUCUGUGGAUUUUUAUGUGUGCAUGAAUUAUGUCUAGCUUUUCGGUCAGUAAUCAUGAUGUAGGCAUUUUUCUCAAUUUGGAGGCGUUAGAUAUCUCUAAAAUCAUCAAGUAUUAACAUAUUGCAACACCAAACAUAUAUUUCAACAUAAAAGCAAAACCAAAGAUGAAUGAUGAGAGUUGGAUCAAUAAUAUUAUAUUAUAUAAUAAAAAUUAUUAUAAAAAAAACAUAUACUUUUGUCAUAGGGAAAACACAUGUAGCUUGUAAAAACAUUUAAAUGUUUGUAAAAAAAUUGUUGAAGAUAUGUCUUUAUAUAUAGUUGAAGAAAAUAAAUUCUUACAAAGUCUUUUCAAAUCUCAUCAUUAAAUAUAAAUUCAUGUUUCUAAGAAAUUAAAUUAUUGAAAUAAAUAGAUAAAAACCUUUCAUAUUCUAUUAAUCACUAGUUAAUAUUGAUUUUCUAUUUAUAAUAAAUAAAAUCAAUUAUAAAAUAAUAUAAUUCAUAAACUUUCUUUUAUAAAAAUUAAUGGAAUAUAAAUGGCUUGUUUUAUAAUUUAUUUGAAAUCUCAUCCUUAAAUAUAAAUUUAUAAGCUUUAGAAAUUAGAUUCAUGAAAUAAAUAAUAAAAACCUUUCACAUUCUAUAAUGAAGUUAAGCAUUUGAAAUGUUGAAUUAUUGAUUUUAUUUUUUAUAUUAAAUAAAUAAGUUAUAAAAUAAUAUAAUUCAUAUAAACUUCUUUUAGAAAACUCAUGAAAUAUAAAUGACUUGUUUUUUUUUUUUUUAAAUCUCAUCAUUAAAUAUAAAUUCUUAAUCUUUAAAAAUUAAAUUAUUGAAAUAAAUAGAAAAAAAAGGUUAUGAAGUUAAGAAUUUGAAAAGAUAAUUAUUCAUUUUAUUCUUUAUACUAAAAACAAAUAAUAAAUCAAUUAUAAAAUAAUAUAAUUUAUAAUUUUCUUAAAAUUUAAACAAUAUCUAAUAUUUAUUUUAAAGUAUAGGAUAAUAUUAUAAAUUUAAAAUUUGGCAAGGGGUAGAAUUGUCUAAAAAUGAUUCUCUCCCUACGUGACUUUUAAUAUAGUAAGGAUAAAGAUUAUAUUAUUAGAAGACAAAAAGAAGAUUUGUUAGGAAAAUGAAUGAGAAGAGAGAAUAAGUUUUUUUUUUGUUAGAUAAGAAUAAGGAAAAGGAAAAAGGGAUUAUUUAAAGAAAGAAAUAUAAUAAUAAUAUUUAAUAAUAAUAUAUAAUUAACCCCCUCGUGAAGCGUGCACCAUUAAACUCACAAUUCAAACUUCAUCUUCUUUCUUUGACAAAACCCUAGCCACCGCCUAAGUUCUCUGAUCACAUCUCUGCCAUAGACGACACUAUUUCCAUCUCCGUCAAGCUCUCUCCGUCGGUAGCAACGCGUUAGUCUUCGUCACUGGUUUUCGUCGUGUUUCCACUCCUAGUUCGUCAUAAUGAAGCUGACGCGUCCGGUCUCCUCUUUCAUCUGCCGGCCGCGUCUGAACAUUAUCAUCUAUCUUCAUCUCCUUGUCUCAGGAGAAGCCAAUCGUGCCUCGUCUCCAUUCGACCGUCUCUACUAGCUUCUAUCGCAGUCAGUCACAAUUGUCAUCGUUACUAAUAUAUGUUUGAUAUACCUUAUACACGUCUGUUAUACCUAAUACCCCUUAAUACACCUGAUACUUCUCUGGUACACACCUGAAACAUCUUUAAAACACAUUAUAGUACUCCUCGUCACACUUGAUUCUUCUUAAUACACUUGAUACCUCUUAGGCCUUGAUAGUUUGAUACACUUAAGGACUUCACUCAUAAGUUUGAUACACCACUAAUAAGCUUGUUAUGCUUCAUUGGUACACACAACAAAUUUGAUAUGUUUGAUGCACUCGAUGCACUGCAGAUACACUUAGUAUUCUUCACUUAUACAUUUGAUUGAUUAAAUAUACUUGAUAUGCUUGAAGUCCUACUUAUACACUUAUAUACUAUUGAUAUUUACCUGUAAACUUGAUAAUGAUUCACUUUAGUGAUAUGCUUUAACAAUAUACUGUUGAUAUACUUGAUAAUGAUACUGAGUUACACCAUUCAUAUACUUAAUAAUACUCUAAUGAACGUAGUAAGUAUAUUAACCAAUUAAUACAUAUAAUAUAAGUAUGUCACAACACUGAUAUACAAAACUAACCAAUUAAUACAUAUAAUAUAAGUAUGUCACAACACUGAUAUACAAAACUGAUACAAAGUAAAACCAAGAAAAAAUCAAUGUAAAAAAAUAAAACAAAAUCAUUUGGAAUCAUAUUCAAUUCAAAAUAUACAUAGAAGAAAGUAAAAAAAAAAUCACAAAUGAAGUUAA